rnacentral:tRNA from 1 species
GCCCGGGUGGUGAAAUAGGUAGACACAGGGGAUUUAANCAAAGCGUGCCGGUUCGAGUCCGGCCCCGGGCACCA